GACGAACGCUGGCGGCGUGGAUUAGGCAUGCAAGUCGAACGGUAUCAUCCUUUCGGGGGUGAGAGAGUGGCGAACUGGUGAGUAACACGUAGGUUAUCUACCCUCAAGACGGGGACAACCCAGGGAAACUUGGGCUAAUACCGGAUGUGAGCAACUUUUAGUUGUUUGAAAGGUGGCGUAAGCUGUCGCUUGGGGAUGAGCCUGCGUCCUAUUAGUUAGUUGGUGAGGUAACGGCUCACCUAGGCAAUGAUAGGUAGGCGGCCUUAACGGGUGGUCGCCCACACUGGGAUUGAGAUACGGCCCAGACUCCUACGGGAGGCAGCAGUCGAGAAUAGUCCACAAUGGUCGGAAGACUGAUAGUGCGACGCCGCGUGAACGAUGAAUCCCUUCGGGGUGUAAAGUUCUUUUAUAUGUGAGCAGUGCUUCUUAUAUUAACAGUAUGGGGAGAGAGAUAUUAGCAUAUGAAUAAGCAACGGCUAACUCCGUGCCAGCAGCCGCGGUAAACUCGU
rnacentral:rRNA from 1 species